UACGUAGGGUGCAAGCGUUAAUCGGAAUUACUGGGCGUAAAGCGUGCGCAGGCGGUUAUGUAAGACAGGUGUGAAAUCCCCGGGCUUAACCUGGGAACUGCAUUUGUGACUGCAUAGCUAGAGUACGGUAGAGGGGGAUGGAAUUCCGCGUGUAGCAGUGAAAUGCGUAGAUAUGCGGAGGAACACUGAUGGCGAAGGCAAUCCCCUGGACCUGUACUGACGCUCAUGCACGAAAGCGUGGGGAGCAAACAGG
rnacentral:rRNA from 1 species